rnacentral:rRNA from 1 species
GACGAACGCUGGCGGCGUGCCUAAUACAUGCAAGUAGAACGCUGAAGGAGGAGCUUGCUUCUCUGGAUGAGUUGCGAACGGGUGAGUAACGCGUAGGUAACCUGCCUGGUAGCGGGGGAUAACUAUUGGAAACGAUAGCUAAUACCGCAUAAGAGUAGAUGUUGCAUGAUAUUUGCUUAAAAGGUGCAAUUGCAUCACUACCAGAUGGACCUGCGUUGUAUUAGCUAGUUGGUGGGGUAACGGCUCACCAAGGCGACGAUACAUAGCCGACCUGAGAGGGUGAUCGGCCACACUGGGACUGAGACACGGCCCAGACUCCUACGGGAGGCAGCAGUAGGGAAUCUUCGGCAAUGGACGGAAGUCUGACCGAGCAACGCCGCGUGAGUGAAGAAGGUUUUCGGAUCGUAAAGCUCAGUUGUAAGAGAAGAACGAGUGUGAGAGUGGAAAGUUCACACUGUGACGGUAUCUUACCAGAAAGGGACGGCUAACUACGUG